UGGCAAACUGUCCAAAAUAACUUCCUAGAAAUUCUGAGCAAAUUGGACUGCUUUAAUUUUACAAUACCUAUUAAAAAUACAAGAACAAGAAAAAGCGAUUAAAAUUACCUUCCUUCAAGUAUGCCUGGGUCUUGGAUAAACUGAAAGAUGAGCUUGAAUAUUGUAUCACCAUUGAUAUCUCCCUGUGGAAAUCUGAGACCAGCAAGACUACACGACUGUCAUUGAUGCCCCAGGACACAGAGACGUCAUCAAAAACAUGAUUACAGGGACAUCUCAGGCUGACUGUGCUGUCCUGAUUGUUGCUGCUGGUGUUGGUGAAUUUGAGGCUGGUAUCUCCAAGAAUGGGCAAACCUGAGAGCAUGCCCUUCUGGCUUGUAUACUGGGUGUGAAACAACUAAUUGUUGGUGUUAACAAAAUGGAUUCCACUGAGCCAUCCUACAGCCAGAAGAGAUAUGAAGAAAUCAUUAAGGAAGUCAGCACUUACAUUAAGAACAUUGGCCAGAACCUGACACAGUAGCAUUUGUGCCAAUUUCUGGUGAGAAUGGUGACAACAUGAUGGAGCCAAGUGCUAACAUGCCUCGGUUCAAGGGAUGGAAAAUCACCCAUGAGGAUGGCAAUGCCUGUGGAGCCAUGCUGCUUGAGGCUCUGGACUGCAUCCUACCACCAACUCAUCCGACUGACAAGCCCUUGCGCCUGCCUCUCCAGGAUGUCUACAAAAUUGAUGGUAUUGGUACUGUUCCUGUUGGCCGAGUGGAGACUGGUGUUCUCAAAAACGGUAUGGCAGUCACCUUUGCUCCGGUCAAUGCCAUAAUUGAAGUAAAGCCUGUUGAAAUGCACCAUGAAGUUUUGAGUGAAGCUCUUCCUGGGGACAAUGUGGACUUCAAUGUCAAGAAUGUGUCUGCCAAGGAGGUUCGUCAUGGCAACGUUGCUGGUGACAGCAAAAACGACCCAACAAUGGAAGCAGCUGGCUUCACUGCUCAGGUGAUUAUCCUGAACCAUCCAGAUCAAAUCAGUGCUGGCUAUGCUCCUGUACUGGAUUGCCACAUGGCUCACAUUGCAUGCAAGUUUGCUGAGCUGAAGGAAAAGACUGGUAGCACUUCUGGUAAAAAGUUGGAAGAUGGCCCUACUUUCUUGAAGUCUGGUGAUGCUGCCAUCAUUGAUAUGGUUCCUGGCAAGCCCAUGUGUGUUGAGAGCUUCUCAGUCUACCCAUCUCUGGGUCGCUUUGCUGUUUGUGAUAUGAGACAGACAGUUGCUGUGGGUGUCAUCAAAGCAAUGGAUAAGAAGGCUGCUGGAGCUGGCAAGGCCACCAAGUCUGCCCAGAAAGCUCAGAAGGCUAAAUGAAUAUUAUCCAUAAUACCUGUCACCCAAGUCUUAAUCAGUGGUGGAAAACAGUCUCAGAACUGUUUGUUUCAAUUGGCCGUUUAAGUUUAAUAGUAAAUGACUGGUUAAUGAUAACAACGCGUCAUAAAAUCUUCAGAAGGAAAGGAGAAUGUUUUGUGGACCACUUUGGUUU